CUCCUCCACCUGCUUUUCCAUCUUCCAGGAGCAGUGUGUGCCCAGCCCUGCCCACCAGGGACAUUUGGCCAGAACUGCAGCCAGGAUUGUCCUUGCCACCAUGGAGGGCAGUGUGACCACGUGACUGGACAGUGCCACUGUACAGCUGGAUACAUGGGGGACAGGUGCCAAGAGGAGUGCCCCUUCGGGUCCUUCGGCUUCCAGUGCUCACAGCACUGUGACUGCCACAAUGGGGGGCAGUGUUCACCCACCACGGGUGCCUGCGAGUGUGAGCCUGGCUACAAGGGCCCACGCUGCCAGGAGCGACUGUGCCCGGAGGGCCUGCAUGGCCCA
rnacentral:lncRNA from 1 species